CCUACGGGGUGCUGCAGUGAGGAAUAUUGGUCAAUGGACGAGAGUCUGAACCAGCCAAGUAGCGUGAAGGAUGACUGCCCUAUGGGUUGUAAACUUCUUUUAUAUGGGAAUAAAAUGUUCCACGUGUGGGAUUUUGUAUGUACCAUAUGAAUAAGGAUCGGCUAACUCCGUGCCAGCAGCCGCGGUAAUACGGAGGAUCCGAGCGUUAUCCGGAUUUAUUGGGUUUAAAGGGAGCGUAGGUGGAUUGGUAAGUCAGUUGUGAAAGUUUGCGGCUCAACCGUAAAAUUGCAGUUGAAACUGACAGUCUUGAGUACAGUAGAGGUGGGCGGAAUUCGUGGUGUAGCGGUGAAAUGCUUAGAUAUCACGAAGAACUCCGAUUGCGAAGGCAGUUCACUGGACUGCAACUGACACUGAGGCUCGAAAGUGUGGGUAUCAAACAGGAUUAGAUACCCGGGUAGUC
rnacentral:rRNA from 1 species